CAGUCGCCACGGGAAUACGUAGGGUGCGAGCGUUAAUCGGAAUUACUGGACGUAAAGCGUGCGCAGGCGGUUCGUUAAGACAGAUGUGAAAUCCCUGAGCUUAACUUAGGAAUUGCAUUCGAUACUGGGAAGCUAGAGUAUGGGAGAGGAUGGUAGAAUUCCAGGUGUAGCGGUGAAAUGCGUAGAGAUCUGGAGGAAUACCGAUGGCGAAGGCAGCCAUCUGGCCUAAUACUGACGCUGAGGUACGAAAGCAUGGGGAGCAAACAGGAUUAGAUACCCCAGUAGUCCCUGUCUCUUAUAC
rnacentral:rRNA from 1 species